GACGAACGCUGGCGGCGUGCCUAAUACAUGCAAGUCGAACGAACUCUGGUAUUGAUUGGUGCUUGCAUCAUGAUUUACAUUUGAGUGAGUGGCGAACUGGUGAGUAACACGUGGGAAACCUGCCCAGAAGCGGGGGAUAACACCUGGAAACAGAUGCUAAUACCGCAUAACAACUUGGACCGCAUGGUCCGAGUUUGAAAGAUGGCUUCGGCUAUCACUUUUGGAUGGUCCCGCGGCGUAUUAGCUAGAUGGUGAGGUAACGGCUCACCAUGGCAAUGAUACGUAGCCGACCUGAGAGGGUAAUCGGCCACAUUGGGACUGAGACACGGCCCAAACUCCUACGGGAGGCAGCAGUAGGGAAUCUUCCACAAUGGACGAAAGUCUGAUGGAGCAACGCCGCGUGAGUGAAGAAGGGUUUCGGCUCGUAAAACUCUGUUGUUAAAGAAGAACAUAUCUGAGAGUAACUGUUCAGGUAUUGACGGUAUUUAACCAGAAAGCCACGGCUAACUACGUGCCAGCAGCCGCGGUAAUACGUAGGUGGCAAGCGUUGUCCGGAUUUAUUGGGCGUAAAGCGAGCGCAGGCGGUUUUUUAAGUCUGAUGUGAAAGCCUUCGGCUCAACCGAAGAAGUGCAUCGGAAACUGGGAAACUUGAGUGCAGAAGAGGACAGUGGAACUCCAUGUGUAGCGGUGAAAUGCGUAGAUAUAUGGAAGAACACCAGUGGCGAAGGCGGCUGUCUGGUCUGUAACUGACGCUGAGGCUCGAAAGUAUGGGUAGCAAACAGGAUUAGAUACCCUGGUAGUCCAUACCGUAAACGAUGAAUGCUAAGUGUUGGAGGGUUCCGCCCUUCAGUGCUGCAGCUAACGCAUUAAGCAUUCCGCCUGGGGAGUACGGCCGCAAGGCUGAAACUCAAAGGAAUUGACGGGGGCCCGCACAAGCGGUGGAGCAUGUGGUUUAAUUCGAAGCUACGCGAAGAACCUUACCAGGUCUUGACAUACUAUGCAAAUCUAAGAGAUUAGACAUUCCCUUCGGGGACAUGGAUACAGGUGGUGCAUGGUUGUCGUCAGCUCGUGUCGUGAGAUGUUGGGUUAAGUCCCGCAACGAGCGCAACCCUUAUUAUCAGUUGCCAGCAUUAAGUUGGGCACUCUGGUGAGACUGCCGGUGACAAACCGGAGGAAGGUGGGGAUGACGUCAAAUCAUCAUGCCCCUUAUGACCUGGGCUACACACGUGCUACAAUGGAUGGUACAACGAGUUGCGAACUCGCGAGAGUAAGCUAAUCUCUUAAAGCCAUUCUCAGUUCGGAUUGUAGGCUGCAACUCGCCUACAUGAAGUCGGAAUCGCUAGUAAUCGCGGAUCAGCAUGCCGCGGUGAAUACGUUCCCGGGCCUUGUACACACCGCCCGUCACACCAUGAGAGUUUGUAACACCCAAAGUCGGUGGGGUAACCUUUUAGGAACCAGCCGCCUAAGGUGGGACAGAUGAUUAGGGUG
rnacentral:rRNA from 1 species